AUUGAACGCUGGCGGCAGGCUUAACACAUGCAAGUCGAGCGAGCGGCGAACGGGUGAGUAAUGUCUGGGAAACUGCCUGAUGGAGGGGGAUAACUACUGGAAACGGUAGCUAAUACCGUAUACCCUGAGAUGUGCCCAGAUGGGAUUAGCUUGUAGGUGGGGUAAUCGCUCACCUAGGCGACCAUCUCGAGCUGGUCUGAGGGGAUGACCAGCCACUCUGGAACGGAGACACGGUCCAGGCUCCUCCGGGAGGCAGCAGUGGGGAAUAUUGCACAAUGGGCGCAAGCCUGAUGCAGCCAUGCUGCGUGUGGGAAGAGGGCCUUCGGGUUGUAAAGCACUUUCAGCGAGGAGGCGUUACUCGCAGAAGAAGCACCGGCUAACUCCGUGCCAGCAGCCGCGGUAAUUC
rnacentral:rRNA from 1 species